AACGAACGCUGGCGGCAUGCCUAACACAUGCAAGUCGAACGAGACCUUCGGGUCUAGUGGCGCACGGGUGCGUAACGCGUGGGAACCUGCCCUUAGGUUCGGAAUAACUCCCCGAAAGGGGUGCUAAUACCGGAUAAUGUCUUCGGACCAAAGAUUUAUCGCCUUUGGAUGGGCCCGCGUUGGAUUAGCUAGUUGGUAGGGUAAAAGCCUACCAAGGCGACGAUCCAUAGCUGGUCUGAGAGGAUGAUCAGCCACACUGGGACUGAGACACGGCCCAGACUCCUACGGGAGGCAGCAGUGGGGAAUAUUGGACAAUGGGCGAAAGCCAGAUCCAGCAAUGCCGCGUGAGUGAUGAAGGCCUUAGGGUUGUAAAGCUCUUUUACCCGGGAUGAUAAUGACAGUACCGGGAGAAUAAGCUCCGGCUAACUCCGU
rnacentral:rRNA from 1 species